GGAGGAAAAGAAACCAACAGGGAUUGCCUCAGUAACGGCGAGUGAAGCGGCAACAGCUCAAAUUUUAAAGCUGGCGUCUUCGACGCCCGCGUUGUAAUUUGGAGAGGCAUCUUCGGUUUGGGCGCCAGCCUAUGUUCCUUGGAACAGGACGUCACAGAGGGUGAGAAUCCCGUGCUUGGCUGGCUGUCCCUUGCCAUGUGAAGUGCCUUCGACGAGUCGAGUUGUUUGGGAAUGCAGCUCAAAAUGGGUGGUAAAUUCCAUCUAAAGCUAAAUAUUGGCGGGAGACCGAUAGCGCACAAGUAGAGUGAUCGAAAGAUGAAAAGCACUUUGAAAAUAGAGUUAAAAAGUACGUGAAAUUGUUGAAAGGGAAGCGCUUGAGACCAGACUCGGCCGGAGAUGAUCAGCCGUCCUUCUGGGCGGUGCACUUGUCUCCGGUCGGGCCAGCAUCGGUUGAGACGGCGGGAUAAAGGCCCGGGGAAUGUGGCUCCUUUCGGGGAGUGUUAUAGCCCCGGACGCAAUGCCGCCAGCCUCGACCGAGGACCGCGCUUUUUGCUAGGAUGCUGGCGUAAUGGUCUUCAGCGACCCGUCUUGAAACACGGACCAAGGAGUCUAACAUCUAUGCGAGUGUUUGGGUGUCAAACCCUUGCGCGUAAUGAAAGUGAACGGAGGUGGGAACCCCCUCGCGGGGCGCACCAUCGACCGGUCCUGAUGUCUUCGGAUGGAUCUGAGUAGGAGCAUAGCUGUUGGGACCCGAAAGAUGGUGAACUAUGCCUGAAUAGGGUGAAGCCAGAGGAAACUCUGGUGGAGGCUCGCAGCGGUUCUGACGUGCAAAUCGAUCGUCAAAUUUGGGUAUAGGGGCG
rnacentral:rRNA from 1 species